AUUGAACGCUGGCGGCAGGCCUAACACAUGCAAGUCGAGCGAGCGGCGGAGGGGGGAGGAAGGUGUGGGAAACUGCGGGAAGGAGGGGGGUAAAAACGGGAAACGGGAGCGAAAACCGCAUACAAUAAGAGGUGACCAGAUGGGAUUAGCUAGAGGGUGGGGGAAUGACUCCCCUAGGCGACGAUCCCUAGCUGGUCUGAGAGGAUGAGCAGCCACACUGGAACUGAGCCACGGUCCAGACUCCUACGGGAGGCAGCAGUGGGGAAUAUUGCACAAUGGGCGCAAGCCUGAUGCAGCCAUGCCGCGUGUGUGAAGAAGGCCUUCGGGUUGUAAAGCACUUUCAGCGGGGAGGCGUUACCCGCAGAAGAAGCACCGGCUAACUCCGUGCCAGCAGCCGCGGUAAUAC
rnacentral:rRNA from 1 species